CUGCGCAGCUUAACAUGCAAGUCGAACGGUAACAGGGAGCUUGCUCCGCUGACGAGUGGCGAACGGGUGAGUAAUGUAUCGGAACGUACCUUUCAGUGGGGGAUAACGUAGCGAAAGUUACGCUAAUACCGCAUAUUCUGUGAGCAGGAAAGCAGGGGACCUUCGGGCCUUGCGCUGAUUGAGCGGCUGAUAUCAGAUUAGCUAGUUGGUGAGGUAAAGGCUCACCAAGGCGACGAUCUGUAGCGGGUCUGAGAGGAUGAUCCGCCACACUGGAACUGAGACACGGUCCAGACUCCUACGGGAGGCAGCAGUGGGGAAUUUUGGACAAUGGGGGCAACCCUGAUCCAGCCAUGCCGCGUGAGUGAAGAAGGCCUUCGGGUUGUAAAGCUCUUUCGGCCGGGAAAAAAUCGCAUGGGCUAAUACCCUGUGUGGAUGAUGGUACCGGAAUAAGAAGCACCGGCUAACUACGUGCCAGCAGCCGCGGUAAUACGUAGGGUGCGAGCGUUAAUCGGAAUUACUGGGCGUAAAGCGUGCGCAGGCGGUUUUUUAAGACAGGCGUGAAAUCCCCGGGCUCAACCUGGGAACUGCGCUUGUGACUGGAAGGCUAGAGUACGGCAGAGGGGGGGUGGAAUUCCACGUGUAGCAGUGAAAUGCGUAGAGAUGUGGAGGAACACCAAUGGCGAAGGCAGCCCCCUGGGUCGAUACUGACGCUCAUGCACGAAAGCGUGGGGAGCAAACAGGAUUAGAUACCCUGGUAGUCCACGCCCUAAACGAUGUCAACUAGGUGUUGGGUGGGUAA
rnacentral:rRNA from 1 species